UCCCUGUGUGAAAUCUUGCAAUAGGACC
rnacentral:piRNA from 1 species